CUCCUUUCCUGCCUGUUCCCUCUGCAGUUUUUCUGCAGCUGAGCAGAGCUGCAGACAGCUGUGAUGGACCCCAGCCUAAGAGCUCCCUAUCUCUGCUGGGCCUCGUGGCUCCUAGGAGUCCUCAGUUUCCUCAGUGUCUGGAGUUAUUCUGCACAGGGCUCUGGAGAUCAUGGCACUGGGAUUCAAGAUUCUGAGGCCCCAUUCUUGUGAAGGGGAUCUGCGGAGGCUCUGUCUGGCUCCAUGUGACCCAGUGGCCAGGAAAAGAUCUAGGAGCCAUGGUGGAGGACAUCACCUGGGUCUUUUUCUCUGGGACCGAGCACACAUGGAUGCUGACAAUCUACAAUGGGACCUUGUUGAUGCUACAGGACAAGUACAAAGGAAGGGUCCAAAUGCCCAGUGUGACAUCCCUGGAGAUUAGGAACCUGAGCCCACAGAACAGUGGGCAGUACACGGCACAGUGUUGGUUAGUGACAGGAGAAGACCUUCACCAAGUUUUCGACCUCAAGGUCUGUGGCUCCAGAGGAAAACAGUCCACUCCAUCCCCUGUCCACUGCUUUAUGGUGAUCAGCGUUCCUCGGCUUGGUCCCCUUCCUCUACCUACACCAGCGUGGCUGGGUUGAGUCCUCCUCACACUGCGUCCUUCAGAGACGCUCGUUUCUGUCCCUCUUCCACUUGUAAGGACCCUAGUGCUGAGGCUGGGCCCACCUAGACAAUCUGCAGCGAUCACUUAUCUCAAGGUCAGCUCUCUACCGUGUCACCUACCGUACUCCCUGGUUCUGAGGACCAGGAUGUGGGUGGGAGGGGCCAGUCCAGUUUCCCACCACAUUAGGAACGCGUGUGUACCUGGUCCUCCCGUCCUCGCUCCUCCCGUGCAGCACAAGCCUGAGGCUCGCUCUCACUGGACUCCACACUCCAGCUCUCCAAGCCGUGAGAGCUGUGGGAGAAGGUUUACGCUGACUCCUGCGCUCCUUAGGAAAUCCACUUCUCCAGCUUCGUUUCCUGGGCGUCUGUGUACAGGGCAGCGCCUGUUAGCAAGAGCGGCCUCCACAGUCUGAAGUCCCAUGUGUCUCCCAGGGCUGCUAGUGAAUCUGACUCUUGUCUUCCUGCCUGGACCACAGGUUCAGGGCGCGAUCUAACUGUACUCGGAGCUGUGACCCAGGCCACGACCCCUGCUUCUCACAGAUGUCUCCGCCUUUGAGAGAUGGAGCUCUGCUGUGUCUUCGCAGAGACCAGGACAAGCGCUUCUGUGCCAGAUCUUUUCCCCUUCCAGAAAAGACCCCAAUUUGUGGAACAUAAUGGUUCCUGGAAGGGGGGGUCUAACCAUCCUUUUCUCAUGGGAAAAUUUUAAAAUUUGCUUAAUAUAGGGAGAUCACUUAAGGCUUAAGUCAGUGGCUACUGUCUCUUGCUCAACAGUUAGCUUGAGGCAAACGUGUUUUAUUUGUCAAGUGCUCCUUCCUUCCUCAUUGGGCACUUGCAUAGGCUGCAGUGAGACAAUUGGAGAGAAUGUGUGACAUGUGAGGCUCUUCUUUGUCCUCACUUUCCCAGAGCCAGUGUCCCCUCCGCAGAUCCUGGCCAAGUCGCUGUCUGUCACAGCAGGCUGGUGCAAUGCCACCCUAGAGUGCAGACCCACAGGGGCGACAGAGAACCUGAAUGUGACCUGGGAGAGCAAGGGCCUCCCCAGAGAGCUGGAGCAGAGAGGGACACCAGUACCAGCCCCCACCCCCUGGACCCAGGCUGCGAGCUUGCCCCUGAGCCAGGCCAAUGGCAGCCUCACCUGUUUGGUCAGCAACCCCGCGGAUCAGAACAGAGCCACCUCAGACCUCAGUGACAUCUGUCCACGAGGUGAGUCCUUCCUGUUGGAGGGGAGGGCUUCCUGAAGCUCAGGGAGCACUGCAGUGUGGGGUUCCAGGCUUUCUUCCCUGCUGGGUUCAUUUGCACCCCCACCUGCACAUGAUCACCCUGUGAAGUCUGGAGUCCAACUCACAUCCAACUCACAUCUGCCUGUAAAUGUCCCUCACAUUCCUGCCCUUCCCCGCUGCUGCAGGCAGCAGUGACUCUCCCUCCCUGUCUGUCACACACUGUGGGCACAGAGUGGGCUCUGGAAAAGUGGACGUAUGCCCGGCUCAUCUCCAGAUCUGACCUCCAUUUUCUCCCUGUAGGACGCAGGGCUCACAACUUGUCUGCCCAUGCUGUGCACUCACGGGCACACGGCACACAGAGCUGCUGCUGUACCCUCUGACUGCGCUGCCCCUGAGAGCCUUUAAAGCAUCACCUCUUCUCAGCCAGUAUUGGUCAGUUGUGUACUUGAAUCCUCCACAAACUGCAGUGCCUUUAGGGCAGGGACACAGUUUGGUUCUCUCUUUGAUCCUUUGGCCAAGUACAGUAGGUGUUUACAGUUUACAGUAGGUGUUUUAUUGACUAAAUGGAUGAUCUGGGAGCUGUGUGCAGUCUUCUCCUCUUUGCCCUUCCUCCAGUAAUGGUGCAGGCAUCCCUCAUGGCAGUGUCAGUUAUAAUCCCCUGUUACAUCCUCCACCCGCCUCCCAUCUAGGAGUGUCAGGUAAAGUUCCAGUCAGCAUGACGCCUCUCCAUCUGGCUUCAGGUUUUACCUCCCUGUGAUCCUGGUCACCUACAGCUCCUCCCUACCUGUCCCUCCCCUGCAGGACUUCUCACUUCCCCCUGAUAUCGGUGAACCUCCCACUCUUCCCUAUAACCUUCUUCAGGAAGUUUACCCUAUAACCUUCUUAAACCUCGGUUGCAGUGAGGUCCCUCUUUCUGGCCGCUGGUAUUUUCUGCCUUCCCUCAUAGCUCCCGAAUUUCUCAAGGGCACCAACCCUACCUUGUUCAUUUCAGCGUCCCAGCACCAUGCAGGAGCUGGGGAACUGGUUGAAUGAUGACUCUGCAUGGUCCUUCCUUUCCGUCCCUGAAUCAGGACUUCUGACUUUGCCUUUCUACUCUCUCACCCUUCCAGUGGGUAUCUUGACUUCUCUCCUGCCUUAACCAUUUUUCACUCUCUCAGUGUGUGGGAAACAGGUAGAUCUGGACAGUCCACCGCUGGCCUCACGGGAGGCUUACUAGGGGGCUUCAUGACUGUGAUUUUGCUUCUUGGAGCUAGACUGUAUCUUUGGAAGCUUCAUGAGAAGAGGAAGAAGAUGGUGCUGGAACAAUGCAGGUUGGAUUUCCCUUCUGGGCUCCGAGAUCUCCCCUCUCUCCCAUUGGCCCCGGGCUCCCUUUGGCCUGCACUUUUUGCUGCCAGGAAGUGGGUCCUGCAGAGGGGAUAGUGGCUGUAACCAUGAUGACCUCAGGUUCAUGGUGGGGGGGAGCAUUACUGGUUUCCCUGGCACAAAAUCAAUCUCCAUUCUGUCAAUGACUCUGGUGCAGGAUUGCAGCAGGACCAACAGGUCUGCACUGAUGAGCUCUUACAGGCAGAUUAUAAUAUGGAAACCUCAUGAAGAAAAUGACAAGGUGAGAGCUGGGAGUGGUGGCCAGCCUGACUACUCACAGGUCACCCACUGCCCAGCUCUGGGCUUCCUAAACUCAGACCCCUGCUAUUUUUGUCCCCACUGUUCUUACCUUUUUGUAAUAUCUACAGCAUGAACUAAGCACAUUUAUAAUUGACUAGUGUAGUGCUGGGUGCUUUGGGAGAAUUCAUAAACAUUCAUGUGAAUGGACAUUGAUGGUAUGCAGAGGUCCCUCUGGGGCCACCGUAUCUAUCCCCAGCUUCUCCAGAACCCUCUGUCUUGUAUUCCCAGCGUAUUGGUGAACAACAUCCAGAAGCAAGGGGGCCACUUACUAGUGUCUACAGUAAGCUUGUUCUCCAUGCCUGCCUACAAAGAUGAUUUAAUUGGAGGAAAUAGGAGAAUGAAACACUCCUCGGACACCCCACCCUCUGAGUCUGACACCUGGGGUCGCCUACUUCCUCUGGCUUUGGUUCAGCUCCAGGUGCCCUUGAUCUUAUUAGCCUGACCCAGUGGACAUUCCUCCCUGAGCACAGCUGCUCCUGUGACUUCUCCAACAGCGCCCCACUGUUCCUGCACACUCAGGAUCCACACGCCUGCAAGCCAAGGUUCUUCUGCAGUCACUGACAUAGCCCGAGCACUCCUCUCCAGAGGCACUCCCAGGAGAACCUGCCUGAUGGACUCUGCAAGUCCUCAUUGCUUUGUCACAAGUCUGUCGUUGAGAACAGGGGCCAGAAACAGGAACUACAAAGGGAUGUUGAUUGCACCCUGGAGGAGUUAGGAUGGGGUCUGGAUUGCAUGGUGCUGGAACACCAACAUUGGUGGGAGCCCCAGCUUCCUCUUUCCUCUUGCAGGCUUUUUUUUCAUCAAUUUUAUUGGUACAUUUUAGAUAUACAAUAUGCUGACAUUCAUUAUUAGGAAUUUGUACCUUU